UAGCAAUACAAGGCAUACGGCUCAGUAACGCGUAGUCAACCUAACCUAUGGACGGGAAUAACCUCGGGAAACUGAGAAUAAUGCCCGAUAGAACAUUAUGCCUGGAAUGGUUUAUGUUCCAAAUGAUUUAUCGCCGUAGGAUGGGACUGCGGCCUAUCAGUUUGUUGGUGAGGUAAUGGCCCACCAAGACUAUUACAGGUACGGGCUCUGAGAGGAGUAGCCCGGAGAUGGGCACUGAGACACGGACCCAGGCCCUAUGGGGCGCAGCCGGCGAGAAAACUUUGCAAUGUGCGAAAGCACGACAAGGUUAAUCCGAGUGGUUUCUGCUAAAUAAACCUUUUGUCAGUCCUAGAAACACUGAUGAAUAAGGGGUGGGCAAGUUCUGGUGUCAGCCGCCGCGGUAAAACCAGCACCUCAAGUGGUCAGGAUGAUUAUUGGGCCUAAAGCAUCCGUAGCCGGCUCUGUAAGUUUUCGGUUAAAUCUGUACGCUCAACGUACAGGCUGCCGGGAAUACUGCAGAGCUAGGGAGUGGGAGAGGUAGACGGUACUCGGUAGGAAGGGGUAAAAUCCUUUGAUCUAUUGAUGACCACCUGUGGCGAAGGCGGUCUACCAGAACACGUCCGACGGUGAGGGAUGAAAGCUGGGGGAGCAAAUCGGAUUAGAUACCCGGGUAGUCCCAGCUGUAAACUAUGCAAA
rnacentral:rRNA from 1 species